rnacentral:rRNA from 1 species
AUUGAACGCUGGCGGCAGGCCUAACACAUGCAAGUCGAACGCGUGGCGGACGGGUGAGUAAUGUCUGGGAAACUGACUGAUGGAGGGGGAUAACUACUGGAAACGGUAGCUAAUACCGCAUACAAUCAGAUGUGCCCAGAUUGGAUUAGCUUGUUGGUGGGGUAAAGGCGCACAAAGGAGAAGAUCACUAGCUGGUCUGAGAGGAUGACCAGCCACACGGGAACUGAGACACGGUCCAGACUCCUACGGUAGGAAGCAGUGGGGAAUAUUGCACAAUGGGCGCAAGCCUGAUGCAGCCAUGCCGCGUGUAUGAAGAAGGCCUUCGGGUUGUAAAGUACUUUCAGCGGGGAGGCGUUACCCGCAGAAGAAGCACCGGCUAACUCCGUGCCAGCAGCCGCGGUAAUAC